AUACGUAGGGGGCGAGCGUUGUCCGGAAUGAUUGGGCGUAAAGGGCGCGUAGGCGGCCCGGUAAGUCUGGAGUGAAAGUCCUGUUUUUGAGAUGGGAAUUGCUUUGGAUACUGUCGGGCUUGAGUGCAGGAGAGGUAAGUGGAAUUCCCAGUGUAGCGGUGAAAUGCGUAGAGAUUGGGAGGAACACCAGUGGCGAAGGCGACUUACUGGACUGUAACUGACGCUGAGGCGCGAAAGUGUGGGGAGCAAACAGGAUUAGAUACCCUGGUAGUCCACACUGUAAACGAUGAAUGCUAGGUGUAGGGGGUAUCGACCCCUUCUGUGCCGCAGUCAACACAAUAAGCAUUCCGCCUGGUGAGUACGGCCGCAAGGUUGAAACUCAAAUGAAUUGACGGGG
rnacentral:rRNA from 1 species